UUGGAAUUGAGCAGUGCUGUCAGUUACUUUGCUGAACACAAGGUCCAAAAGAUGAAGUUCUGAUGGAGCUCCCUCAUCUGUCGCUCAUCGUGAUGAUAUGCAUUCCCAUUAUGGCUUCCAACCCAGUGCCAAAGAACCCUAUACAAGAGCUUAAAGAGGAAAUGAAGAAGAACUUGGAAGCAUCUCUCUGCGAACUAGAAAGGGCAACAAAUAAUUAUUGCAAAGACGCAGGUCUGCCACUCAACUCAACCAACACAGGGAAACUUAAAGGACAAACUUGGGGAAUGGGAAACGAAACUGAAAUCAAGAAGUCCAUCUGUGCCAUUGUGGACUGCCUCAAAAGCCUGCCAGCAUUCGUCAAGGAUGUAAUUGGGGACAACAAGGAUAAAAAAGUCACCAAGAACACAAAUGCGUUCCUUAAACGGUUCAGCUUGACUGUUGCGCAGACAGAUUUCGCUGGUGCCCCCCAGCAACAGUGCAGGACAGAUUUAAACACUUCAGACACUUACAAUAAGAAAACCACUAUCUUCGGUAUUUUAAAAAACAGCAUGAUAUGGGUGAAAAAUUUCACACAGAUGGAGCCGUCCUGUUAAUGUUUUCACUAACCUUUUAG
ensembl:lncRNA